GUUCAGCGUUCUACAGCCCCAAGAGCUGGAAAUCCUCCUGGAGGCUCUUGGCAAACAGAGUUUCCUGAGUUCCCCCUGACAGAAGGACAGUGAUAGCUUUUGAGUGCUAGGAGAUCCUUUUAAUAGAUAGCCUUGAGUGUGUCCUUGUUGCACCAGUAGGCCUUGUCCAACUCCCCAUAGUCCAGGAGAUACACAUAUUAAAGG